AACAAAAUAUCCACUGAGGUUAUCAAUGAUAAUAGAAUCCAGGUGAUUUAAAUACUAAUUUAGUGCUUCUAUAUUUUACAUAUUUUAAAACAAUAAGCAUAUAACACUUAAGGCAUCAAGGGAAGAUGUGGGGGUUUUUUCCAAGCCUUCAGAAAGAUGCCACCAGCAGCCUCCUUAUUUGGUUGAGGAUCUCUUUGUUUUUUGUGGAUGGUUCAAUGGUUUACAUAAAUUUUUUGUUUAAGUAGGACAGAGGAACCACAAAGAGGUUAUGGUUUCGCUUUUCACUCCCUGCAUACAAUUCAAACAACAUGAAAAUCAAGAUUAUGACCUUUCAAAGAUGAGGGACUUCAUCAACCAACAAGCUGAUGCUUAUGUGGAGAAAGGCAUCCUUGAUAAAGAAGAAGCCGAUGCUAUUAAGCGUAUUUACAGUAGCCUGUAAAAAUGGCAAACGACCCAGGAGUCUUUUAUCUGUUUCAGAAAAUGUAGUGUAGCUUAAAACACUUCUAAUUCUGUGAUUAAAGUUAUUUUGACCCAACGAUUAUUAGAAAGUCCUGAAUUUACAGUAGUUACUCCUAAAAGUGGUUAAAACAAUAGCUUUCUUGCCAUAAAUACUAUCUGAAAAGUAAAGUUGUAUGUAAGCUGAGAGUUUGUAUAUAGAAUUCUUAUUUCCUUAUAGAUUUACAUUUUAUAACCAGAUAUAUGUUGCUUUGGAAAAGCCUAUAAUGGAGUGAACUUAAAGCUGAACCCUCAUUUCACUGUGUCACACAUACAAGUACCCUCCUUGAAGAAUUAGGGGGCUCUGUUUUCAAGGCAUGCUGGGUACCAAAGCACCUCAUAGACUAUCUGUUACAAGAUGUCACUUCUGUACCUCUUCCCUUUUGGGAGCUGAAAUAAAUUCACAUUUCCUCGAAGCCUCUAGA